UAGUCCACGCCGUAAACGAUGGUCACUAGUUGUUGGGGUCUUGUACCUCAGUGAUUAAGAGAAAUUGAUAAGUGACCCACCUGGGGAGUACGAUCGCAAGAUUGAAACUCAAAGGAAUUGACGGGGGCCCGCACAAGCGGUGGAGUCAUGUAGGUUUAAUUCGAUGAUACGCGAGGAACCUUACCUGGGCUCGAACAUUAUAUGAUCUACUGUGUAAAGCGGUAUUUCCAGUUUACUGGACAUAUAGUGAGGUGCUGCAUGGUUGUCGUCAGCUCGUGCCGUGAGGUGUUGGGUUAAGUCCCGCAACGAGCGCAACCCCUAUUCUUAGUUGCCAGUCUAAGCUUCGGUUAGAGGGACUCUAGGAAGACUGCCACCGUAAGGUGUGAGGAAGGUGGGGAUGACGUCAAAUCAUCAUGGCCUUUAUGCCCAGGGCUACACACGUGCUACAAUGGUAGGUACAGAGGGUAGCGAAGCCGCGAGGUGGAGCCAAUCUCAGAAAACCUAUCA
rnacentral:rRNA from 1 species